UAUUCUGAGAUACACAAUUUUAUAGUUGACUGUUUUCAUUCCUUAUCAAAACAGUCGAAUAUACAUAUAUCAGCAAAAAUUGAUAUUAUUCACCAUGUCAAUCUCAGCGAAAUCUGGGAUUUGGAAAGGAUAUUAUACACAGUUUAACACCCGUUAUCCUUUUACCAUGCAACUAUAUCUUGAGAACUUCGAUGGAUCUGUUAAAGGCGAAGGCACUAACGGCAUUGGAAAUUUCAUGAUUAAUGGAACAUGGGACAGGUUCAGUGGGUCUAUCCAGUUCACAAAGCAAUAUGUUGGUGCCCAUGACGUGAAGUAUAAUGGACGGAUAUGCAAUGAUGGCAGAAAAAUAGACGGAAAAUACAACGUCAUGGGUGGCACAGGAGAGUUCCAUAUGAACAUUCAAUAAUACUUAGGGACAUCAUUUGAAAAAAAAAUUAAUGCCUUUCAGUUACUUUCCUUGGUUCUUUGUUAUUUCAAGAACUUGGAGUAACUAAAGAAACUUUUCUGUGUUUGACUUAAAGUAUGUAAAAACCGAAUGGUGAAUUUCUCUCAACUGAUGGUAGCUUUUCUUUUAUUUUCAAACAAACAAUAAUUUUAUCUUAUUCAUUAAAGUGAAUUGUCAGAUAAUUUUAAUUUGAAGGUUCACAAGGUUUUUGUGGAAAUUGACUUCAAUCUUAACCCCAUAUUGUCAAUUGCUAGAAUAUGAACACAUAUUGAAACACAUAUUGUAUAACUACAUUUUUAUGGUAUUUUAUGUUUCAAAGCUAAAGCUGAAAUACAAGAUAUACUUUUUAUUUCUAAACUUUUAAAUAAGGCACAUGGGCCUUAAUGCAACACCAUAUUCCAUUUAAACUCUAGCAGCAUUUCGGCUAAUUCGUAAAUUGACCCUCUUCCAUCGAGUCUAUAAAAGACUUUUGGAUGAGGGUUAUAUUCCAUCCAAAUGUAUAGAUUUUACUAGUAUUCUUAAUGAUGUGGUAACUGAAAGGUAUCUUUCUACAUCACGGUCUAAUCAAUUUCAGCAACCUAUACUCUUGCUAGAUUGCACAUGUACAUGAAGUCUAUAUAAUUGAUGUUUUUAUCUUAUGAAUCAUUUUCAAUGUCAUCUCCAUUGGGAGAUUACAAACUAAGUUUGAAAGCCGGAAGUGAAGUUCUAAUGUAUUCUGGUGGUCUGACAAAUAAAAACGGACAUUUAUGAAGAA